UACGUAGGGGGCAAGCGUUGUCCGGAUUUACUGGGUGUAAAGGGCGCGUAGGCGGGACUGUCAGUCAGAGGUGAAAUCUCACGGCUUAACCGUGAAACUGCCUUUGAUACUGCAGUUCUUGAGUGCGGAAGAGAGAGACGGAAUUCCAGGUGUAGUGGUGAAAUACGUAGAUAUCUGGAAGAACACCAGUGGCGAAGGCGGUCUCUUGGUCCGUUACUGACGCUGAGGCG
rnacentral:rRNA from 1 species